rnacentral:rRNA from 1 species
AUUGAACGCUGGCGGCAGGCCUAACACAUGCAAGUCGAGCGGAGCGGCUGACGGGUGAGUAAUGCCUAGGAAUCUGCCUGGUAGUGGGGGAUAACGUCCGGAACCGGGCGCUAAUCCCGCAUACUAUCAGAUGAGCCUAGGUCGGAUUAGCUAGUUGGUGGGGUAAAGGCCUACCAAGGCAACGAUCCGUAACUGGUCUGAGAGGAUGAUCAGUGACACUGGAACUGAGACACGGUCCAGACGCCUACGGGAGGCAGCAGUGGGGAAGAGGGGACAAUGGGCGAAAGCCUGAUCCAGCCAUGCCGCGUGUGUGAAGAAGGGCUUCGGAUUGUAAAGCACUUUAAGUUGGGAGGCGUUACCAACAGAAUAAGCACCGGCUAACUACGUGCCAGCAGCCGCGGUAAUAC